UACAGGGGGUGCAACCGUUGCUCGGAAUCAUUGGGCGUAAAGCGCACGUAGGCGGUUCGUUAUGUCGGAUGUGAAAGCCCUUGGCUUAACCGAGGAAGUGCAUCCGAAACUGGCGAGCUAGAGUACUAAAGAGGAUCGCGGAAUUCCCGGUGUAGAGGUGAAAUUCGUAGAUAUCGGGAGGAACACCAGUGGCGAAGGCGGCGACCUGGGCCAAUAUUGACGCUGAGGUGCGAAAGCGUGGGGAGCAAACAGG
rnacentral:rRNA from 1 species